rnacentral:rRNA from 1 species
GUUUAUUUGAUAGUACCUUACUACAUGGAUACCUGUGGUAAUUCUAGAGCUAAUACAUGCUGAAAACCUCGACUUCGGAAGGGGUGUAUUUAUUAGAUAAAAAACCAAUGCCCUUCGGGGCUCCUUGGUGAAUCAUAAUAACUUAACGAAUCGCAUGGCCUUGCGCCGGCGAUGGUUCAUUCAAAUUUCUGCCCUAUCAACUUUCGAUGGUAGGAUAGUGGCCUACCAUGGUGGCAACGGGUAACGGGGAAUUAGGGUUCGAUUCCGGAGAGGGAGCCUGAGAAACGGCUACCACAUCCAAGGAAGGGAGCAGGCGCGCAAAUUACCCAAUCCCGACACGGGGAGGUAGUGACAAUAAAUACUGAUACGGGGCUCUUUUGGGUCUCGUAAUUGGAAUGAGUACAAUCUAAAUCCCUUAACGAGGAACAAUUGGAGGGCAAGUCUGGUGCCAGCAGCCGCGGUAAUUCCAGCUCCAAUAGCGUAUAUUAAAGUUGUUGCAGUUAAAAAGCUCGUAGUUGAACCUUGGGUCUGGCUGGCCGGUCCGCCUCACCGCGAGUACUGGUCCGGCUGGACCUUUCCUUCUGGGGAAUCUCAUGGCCUUCACUGGCUGUGGGGGGAACCAGGACUUUUACUGUGAAAAAAUUAGAGUGUUCAAAGCAGGCCUUUGCUCGAAUACAUUAGCAUGGAAUAAUAGAAUAGGACGUGCGGUUCUAUUUUGUUGGUUUCUAGGACCGCCGUAAUGAUUAAUAGGGAUAGUCGGGGGCGUCAGUAUUCAGCUGUCAGAGGUGAAAUUCUUGGAUUUGCUGAAGACUAACUACUGCGAAAGCAUUCGCCAAGGAUGUUUUCAUUAAUCAGGGAACGAAACUUAGGGGAUCGAAGACGAUCAGAUACCGUCGUAGUCUUAACCAUAAACUAUGCCGACUAGGGAUCGGACGGUGUUUCUAUUAUGACCCGUUCGGCACCUUACGAGAAAUCAAAGUUUUUGGGUUCUGGGGGGAGUAUGGUCGCAAGGCUGAAACUUAAAGAAAUUGACGGAAGGGCACCACCAGGCGUGGAGCCUGCGGCUUAAUUUGACUCAACACGGGGAAACUCACCAGGUCCAGACAAAAUAAGGAUGGACAGAUUGAGAGCUCUUUCUUGAUCUUUUGGAUGGUGGUGCAUGGCCGUUCUGAGUUGGUGGAGUGAUUUGUCUGCUUAAUUGCGAUAACGAACGAGACCUCGGCCCUUAAAU